CUUCCGUAGGGUGAACCUGCGGAAGGAUCAUUAGAGAACCUGGGCCUGCGCUACUUGCGCGGCUCCAACCAAUACACAGUGUGUUAUACUUCUCUUGCUUUGGCUCUGCCAAAGGUUUUAAACACAGAAAUUUAUUUUCUCUAGAAACUAGUCAAUUUGAAUUUUAAUCUUCAAAACUUUCAACAACGGAUCUCUUGGUUCUCGCAACGAUGAAGAACGCAGCGAAAUGCGAUACGUAAUGUGAAUUGCAGGUUUUCGUGAAUCAUCGAAUCUUUGAACGCAUAUUGCGCUCUCUGGCAUUCCAGAGAGCAUGCCUGUUUGAGCGUCAUUUCUCUCUCAAGAUCCUCUAGGGGACUUGGUAUUGAGUGAUACUCUGUGUUAACUUGAAAUACUCUAGGCAGAGCUCCCCCUAGAAAUCCUCUGGGCCGAAAUAAUGUAUUAGGUUCUACCAACUCGUUAUUUUCCAGACAGACUUCCAGGCAGAGCUCGGCUGAACAACCUUUCUAAGCUUGACCUCAAAUCAGGUAGGACUACCCGCUGAACUUAAGCAUAUCAAUAAGCGGAGGAAAAGAAACCAACAGGGAUUGCCUCAGUAACGGCGAGUGAAGCGGCAAAAGCUCAAAUUUGAAAUCUGAGGCUUUCAGCCCCCGAGUUGUAAUUUGAAGAUGGUGUUCUGGCGCCGGCCCCCUGUCUACGUUCCUUGGAACAGGACAUCACAGAGGGUGAGAAUCCCGUCUGGCGGGGCGGCCUGGCUCCGUGUAGAGCGCCAUCGACGAGUCGAGUUGUUUGGGAAUGCAGCUCUAAGUGGGUGGUAAAUUCCAUCUAAAGCUAAAUAUUGGCGAGAGACCGAUAGCGAACAAGUACAGUGAUGGAAAGAUGAAAAGAACUUUGAAAAGAGAGUGAAAAAGUACGUGAAAUUGUUGAAAGGGAAGGGUAUUGGAUCAGACUUGGUGCUGUGCGAAUAGCGGCUCUUCUUGGGCCGCCCACUCGCACUCCACCGGGCCAGCAUCGGUUUGGGCGGCAAGACAAUGGCGGGGGAACGUGGCACUGCUCUCGGGCAGUGUGUUUAUAGCCCCCGCUGAUGUUGCCUGCCUAGACCGAGGACUGCGGCUUCUGCCUAGGAUGCUGGCGUAAUGAUCCAACACCGCCCGUCUUGAA
rnacentral:rRNA from 1 species